GGGGCGGUAGCUUAGUGAAAACUAAACUUAUUCUGGCAGCUUAAUAGAAAGCUAUAAGAAUAAUUACGGCAACUAUCCAAUAGGUAAAGCGCAAAACUUUUAAUUUUGAGAUCGUCGGUUCAACUCCGGCCCGCCCCC
rnacentral:tRNA from 1 species